AUUGAACGCUGGCGGCAGGCCUAACACAUGCAAGUCGAACGCGUGGCGGACGGGUGAGUAAUGUCUGGGAAACUGCCAGAUGGAGGGGGAUAACUACUGGAAACGGUAGCUAAUACCGCAUACCAUCGGAUGUGCCCAGAUGGGGUUAGCUAGUAGGUGGGGUAAAGGCUCACCUAGGCCACGAUCCCUAGCUGGUCUGAGAGGAUGACCAGCCAAACUGGAACUGAGACACGGUCCAGACUCCUACGGGAGGCAGCAGUGGGGAAUAUUGCACAAUGGGCGCAAGCCUGAUGCAGCCAUGCCGCGUGUAUGAAGAAGGCCUUCGGGUUGUAAAGUACUGUCAGCGGGGAGGCGUUACCCGCAGAGGAAGCACCGGCUAACUCCGUGCCAGCAGCCGCGGUAAUUC
rnacentral:rRNA from 1 species